rnacentral:rRNA from 1 species
UGGCGGCAUGCCUAACACAUGCAAGUCGAACGGCUCUUCGGAGCAGUGGCGCACGGGUGAGUAACGCGUGGAAUCUACCCUGAGGUUCGGAAUAACGGUUGGAAACGACCGCUAAUACCGGAUGUGCCCUAUGGGGCGAAAGGCUUGCCGCCUUGGGAGGGAGCCCGCCGUCCGAUUAGCUUGUUGGUGGGGUAACGGGCCUACCAAGGCGACGAUCGGUAGCUGGUCUGAGAGGAUGAUCAGCCACACUGGGACGUGAGACACGGCCCAGACUCC